rnacentral:rRNA from 1 species
UACAGAGGUCUCAAGCGUUGUUCGGAUUCAUUGGGCGUAAAGGGUGCGUAGGUGGCGCCGUAAGUCGGGUGUGAAAUUUCGGAGCUUAACUCCGAAACUGCAUUCGAUACUGCGGUGCUUGAGGACUGGAGAGGAGACUGGAAUUCAUGGUGUAGCAGUGAAAUGCGUAGAUAUCGUAAGGAAGACCAGUGGCGAAGGCGGGUCUCUGGACAGUUCCUGACGCUGAGGCACGAAGGCCAGGGGAGCAAACGGG